GGGGUAGAGUGUGUGAGUGUGUGGUGGAGGGUGUGAGUAUGGGGUAGAGUAUGUGAGUCUGUUUGGAUGCUUUUUAAAGAGGUCACUGAGUGUGUCAGAUUCAAGCUCACUGCUGAUGAGAGAUGUAAACACAGGAAUGACCAUG